GAUGAACGCUGGCGGCGUGCCUAAUACAUGCCAGUCGAGCGAACAGAUGAGGAGCUUGCUCCUCUGACGUUAGCGGCGGACGGGUGAGUAACACGUGGAUAACCUACCUAUAAGACUGGGAUAACUUCGGGAAACCGGAGCUAAUACCGGAUAAUAUAUUGAACCGCAUGGUUCAAUAGUGAAAGACGGUUUUGCUGUCACUUAUAGAUGGAUCCGCGCCGCAUUAGCUAGUUGGUAAGGUAACGGCUUACCAAGGCGACGAUGCGUAGCCGACCUGAGAGGGUGAUCGGCCACACUGGAGCUGAGACACGGUCCAGACUCCUACGGGAGGCAGCAGUAGGGAAUCGUCCGCAAUGGGCGAAAGCCUGACGGAGCAACGCCGCGUGAGUGAUGAAGGUCUUCGGAUCGUAAAACUCUGUUAUUAGGGAAGAACAAAUGUGUAAGUAACUAUGCACGUCUUGACGGUACCUAAUCAGAAAGCCACGGCUAACUACGUG
rnacentral:rRNA from 1 species